rnacentral:tRNA from 1 species
GCCCGUGGCCUAGCGUGGAUAGGGCGCCAGCCUCCGGAGCUGGAAGUCCCGGGUUCAAAUCCCGGCGGGC